CAUGCAAGUCGAGGGGAAACGACAUCGAAAGCUUGCUUUUGAUGGGCGUCGACCGGCGCACGGGUGAGUAACGCGUAUCCAACCUGCCCACCACUUGGGGAUAACCUUGCGAAAGUAAGACUAAUACCCAAUGACGUCUCUGGAAGACAUCUGAAAGAGAUUAAAGAUUUAUCGGUGAUGGAUGGGGAUGCGUCUGAUUAGCUUGUUGGCGGGGUAACGGCCCACCAAGGCGACGAUCAGUAGGGGUUCUGAGAGGAAGGUCCCCCACAUUGGAACUGAGACACGGUCCAAACUCCUACGGGAGGCAGCAGUGAGGAAUAUUGGUCAAUGGGCGAGAGCCUGAACCAGCCAAGUAGCGUGCAGGAUGACGGCCCUAUGGGUUGUAAACUGCUUUUAUAAGGGAAUAAAGUGAGUCUCGUGAGACUUUUUGCAUGUACCUUAUGAAUAAGGACCGGCUAAUUCCGUGCCAGCAGCCGCGGUAAUACGGAAGGUCCGGGCGUUAUCCGGAUUUAUUGGGUUUAAAGGGAGCGUAGGCCGGAGAUUAAGCGUGUUGUGAAAUGUAGACGCUCAACGUCUGCACUGCAGCGCGAACUGGUUUCCUUGAGUACGCACAAAGUGGGCGGAAUUCGUGGUGUAGCGGUGAAAUGCUUAGAUAUCACGAAGAACUCCGAUUGCGAAGGCAGCUCACUGGAGCGCAACUGACGCUGAAGCUCGAAAGUGCGGGUAUCGAACAGGAUUAGAUACCCUGGUAGUCCGCACGGUAAACGAUGGAUGCCCGCUGUUGGUCUGAAUAGGUCAGCGGCCAAGCGAAAGCAUUAAGCAUCCCACCUGGGGAGUACGCCGGCAACGGUGAAACUCAAAGGAAUUGACGGG
rnacentral:rRNA from 1 species